ACGUUGCGGAACCUUGCAGGGCGAUUUAGACGCGAGCGUGACGUGUGAUGCAGUCGCACGUCAAAAUUCGCGAUGUCGCAGAAACUGGAGCUGCCGGACCCGGCGCCCGCGGCCGCGGGCCGCCCCCAAUGGAAAGAAAUGGUGGACAGCGUGGUGGAGUUUAUAGCCGCGUCGAGAACCAUGCUCGAGAUCCUCCGUGGGCGCGUGAAGGAUCACGAGGCUGCCAAAGAGGAGGAAAUUAGAAAGCUGGAGGACGACAAGAUCCGGAUGGAGUUUUACAAGGAAUGUCUGCGCGUGGACGUGCCGAGUCGCGCUGAAGACGGCGAGAGUAAAAGGACGAAACGUCUGCAGAGGCAUCCGAAGCAAACCGUACGCGCCGACGACGGCAUAACGCAGACCAAAGGCACGCUUCCCGAGAGGUCGGUGGGCGAGGGCGUCACCUCCGCGCCCUUCAAGAAGCCACAGAGUCUCGGCUACAGCGGGAUACACGCGAAGCGUUCGAAACCUGAGGGCGCAGCUCCGGAGGGGUGCAAAAAAUAAACAGCGGAGGCAAUAAAGCAUCAUGACGACAUUAUUUUCAACGUUUUUGGCUUUGAGUUACCGGAUGGCGCGGCGCGUAAUUAAACAACGAAGUGUGAAUUUAUU